rnacentral:rRNA from 1 species
GACGAACGCUGGCGGCGUGCUUAACACAUGCAAGUCGAACGGAAAGGCCUGCUUUCCCUUGUGGAUUGCGGGUACUCGAGUGGCGAACGGGUGAGUAACACGUGAGUGAUCUGCCCCCAACUUGGGUAUAAGCCUGGGAAACUGGGUCUAAUUCCCGGUAGGACUGCAGGGUGGUGCCUGUGGUGGAAAACGAUUUUCUAGUGGUUGGGGAUGAGCGCGCGGCCUAUCAGCUUGUUGGUGGGGUAAUGGCCUACCAAGGCGGCGACGGGUAGCCGGCCUGGGAGGGUGGACGGCCACAUUGGGACUGGGAUACGGCCCAGACGCCUACGGGAGGCAGCAGUGGGGAAUAUUGCACAAUGGGCGGAAGCCUGAUGCAGCGACGCCGCGUGGGGGAUGACGGCCUUCGGGUGGUAAACUCCUUUCGACCGCGAGGAAGCCACCUGGUUGGAAGGGUGGUGACGGUAGUGGUAGAAGAAGCACCGGCUAACUACGUG